GAUGAAGAACGUAGUGAAAUGCGAUAAGUAAUGUGAAUUGCAGAAUUCAGUGAAUCAUCGAAUCUUUGAACGCACAUUGCGCCCGCCAGUAUUCUGGCGGGCAUGCCUGUCCGAGCGUCAUUUCAACCCUCGAACCCCUCCGGGGGGUCGGCGUUGAGGAUCGGCACUUACCUGCCGGCCCCGAAAUACAGUGGCGGUCUCGCCGCAGCCUCUCCUGCGCAGUAGUUUGCACACUCGCACCGGGAGCGCGGCGCGUCCACGGCCGUAAAACAACCCAAACUUCUGAAAUGUUGACCUCGGAUCAGGUAGGAAUACCCGCUGAACUUAAGCAUAUCAAUAAGCGGAGGA
rnacentral:misc_RNA from 1 species